rnacentral:rRNA from 1 species
UACGUAGGGGGGCGAGCGUUGUCCGGAAUUAUUGGGCGUAAAGCGCGCGCAGGCGGUUUUGUAAGUCGGGUGUGAAAGCCCCGGGCUCAACCUGGGAAUUGCAUUCGAGACUGCAUGGCUAGGGUGCGGAAGAGGGAAGCGGAAUUUCCGGUGUAGCGGUGAAAUUCGUAGAUAUUCGGAAGAACACCAGUGGCGAAGGCGACUUACUGGACACAUAUUGACGCUGAGGUGCGAAAGCGUGGGGAGCAAACAGG